rnacentral:rRNA from 1 species
UACAGAGGUCUCGAGCGUUAGGCGGAAUCACUGGGCUUAAAGCGUGUGUAGGCGGAUCGUUAAGUGCCUUGUGAAAUCCCACGGCUCAACCGUGGAACUGCUUGGCAUACUGGCGGUCUUGAGCAACCUAGGGGCGGGCGGAACAAAUGGUGGAGCGGUGAAAUGCGUAGAUAUCAUUUGGAACGCCAAUGGUGAAAACAGCUCGCUGGGGGUUUGCUGACGCUGAGACACGAAAGCCAGGGGAGCAAACGGG